rnacentral:rRNA from 1 species
UACGAAGGGUGCAAACGUUGCUCGGAAUUAUUGGGCGUAAAGCGCACGUAGGCGGCUUGGCAAGUCGGAUGUGAAAUCCCUCGGCUCAACCAAGGAAGUGCAUCCGAAACUGCUGAGCUUGAGUACGAAAGAGGAUCGCGGAAUUCCCGGUGUAGAGGUGAAAUUCGUGGAUAUCGGGAGGAACACCAGUGGCGAAGGCGGCGAUCUGGGUCGAUACUGACGCUGAGGUGCGAAAGCGUGGGGAGCAAACAGG